rnacentral:lncRNA from 1 species
AUUAGAGAGUUUCUAAGAGCUUGUAAAACUCGAAACAAUGCAUUUUCAGCGAGAAUUACAUUGUUGUACCGGUACAAGGGUUUAUCUAUUCCGGUACAGACAUCGACUUUUGCCGCAGAGUUUGUUGAUGGUUGUUCCGGUACAAUCAUCACGGCUCUACCAGUACAAGCCCUGUUCCGGAACAAGCUGCAGCCUAUACAGGGUACAGAAGCUUCGCAGAAAAAUCUUCCGUCAUGCUGUACCCUGGACAGCUUUCCUUGUUCCGGUACAAGUUGCUGAUUUUGGAAAAAAAACUUUUUAAUCCUAUUCCGUUUUGAUUCUAAAGUCUAUAAAUAAGCUAUUGGGGUUCUCUAACUCAUCAAGCAUUAUAAGAAUACAUGUUUGAGAAACCCUAGAGGCUCGGAUUUCAUUCUAAACCUAUUUUCUACAAAUUAGCCUCUUUAGAUCAAAUCGAGAUAACGUUUCGCAUUCGAUAUAUAUCGAUUUGAUCUAGUUUUCGCUUGGAGUUUUCUUCCUUGGUUUUCUACGAUACUCCUAAGCGAAGGAUCACCAUAAUCAUGAUGUUCUUCAUGAACGGCGUCGUGGAUUCGGCAUGAACAAAGGCGGUUCGUGGAUUCGGAUCGUUGGCUCGUGGAUUCGAGUGGCGUCGUGGAUUUGGCGUGAUUGAAGCUUCGUGGAUUCGAAGUGGAGGCGUUCGUGGAUUCGAACGUGAGGGCGUGGACAAAUCCGGAGGGUAGCACGAAGAUUCAUAGGAGGUUAAGAGAGUUCCAAAUUGGAGUUUUCCCACGUAAAUCUCGGUGUGCUUUUUAUUUUUCACAUUUAUUUUUAUUGCAUCGAGAUUUGUGGUUUUUGGCCGUUCA